UUAGAAGGCUCCCGGCAGGCCUAUCACAUGCAAGUCGAGGGGCAGCACAAAGAUAGCUUGCUAUUUUGGUGGCGACCGGCGCACGGGUGCGUAACGCGUAUGCAAUCUACCUUAUACUGGGGUAUAGCCCGAAGAAAUUCGGAUUAAUCCCCCAUAGUACUGAUAUACCUCAUGGUAAUUCAGUUAAAGUUUCGGCGGUAUGAGAUGAGCAUGCGUCCUAUUAGCUUGAUGGUAAGGUAACGGCUUACCAUGGCUACGAUAGGUAGGGGGCCUGAGAGGGUGACCCCCCACACUGGUACUGAGACACGGACCAGACUCCUACGGGAGGCAGCAGUGAGGAAUAUUGGUCAAUGGGCGCAAGCCUGAACCAGCCAUGCCGCGUGCAGGAAGAAUGCCCUAUGGGUUGUAAACUGCUUUUAUUUAGGAAUAAACCUUUCUACGUGUAGAAAGCUGAAGGUAC
rnacentral:rRNA from 1 species